GCCACCUAAGUCCACAGUGGCUCGUCCUCUGCCUCCGCCGCCCGUGGCCUCAGUCCUCAGUGCUGUGUCUGUGCCUCUGCAGUGUGCGACAUUCCUUUGUAUGACAUCUGCGACUACAACGUCUCCAGGGACCGCUGCAAGGACCUUGGGUGCUGCUUCUACAAGGGCGUCUGCUACGAGAAGGCGGUUCCGACGUAUGUGCAGGCAUUCUCUACCUUGAUUGUGAUCAUCGCUGUCGCCUUCAUCGCUGCCGUUAUUUACAAAAUUGUCCAAGAGGUCAGGAGAAUGAGGAGCUCCGAGGAGGGCACGGCUGGUGGUGACGAUGGCCAAGGUGGGGAGACAGCCACGAAGGCCUCGAAAAGCGAGACCUCCCGGAAGAGCGGGGAGAACGAGCCCCAGGAGGGGGAAGGGACAGUGACACUCUCAGAAGCUGAAGAAGCCGAAGCAGUUGACUGACGUGCACAGAGAGGAAGGAAAGUGGCAGAAAGUGGUGCUUGGGACGCGCAGCGGGUGACCUCUCCUGGGGUGUGUGUGGAGCCAUCCCGUGGGAAAGAAUAAAGGUAUUUUUUGAA